UGUGGCUCAGUGAUAGAGCACUUGCCUAGCAUGCAUGAGGUACUGGGUUCAAUCCCCACCA
rnacentral:tRNA from 1 species